rnacentral:rRNA from 1 species
GGGAGGCAGCAGUGGGGAAUAUUGCGCAAUGGGCGAAAGCCUGACGCAGCGACGCCGCGUGAGGGAUGAAGGUCUUCGGAUCGUAAACCUCUGUCGGAAGGGAAAAAGGUGCAGGGUGCCAAUCAGCCCUGCAUUGAUGGUACCUUCAGAGGAAGCACCGGCUAACUCCGUGCCAGCAGCCGCGGUA